rnacentral:rRNA from 1 species
GACGAACGCUGGCGGCGUGCUUAACACAUGCAAGUCGAACGGUGAAGCUCCAGCUUGCUGGAGUGGAUCAGUGGCGAACGGGUGAGUAACACGUGAGCAACCUGCCCCUGACUCUGGAAUAAGCGCUGGAAACGGCGUCUAAUACUGGAUACGAGAAGGGUCCGCAUGGGCACUUUCUGGAAAGUUUUUCGGUUGGGGAUGGGCUCGCGGCCUAUCAGUUUGUUGGUGAGGUAAUGGCUCACCAAGGCGACGACGGGUAGCCGGCCUGAGAGGGCGACCGGCCACACUGGGACUGAGACACGGCCCAGACUCCUACGGGAGGCAGCAGUGGGGAAUAUUGCACAAUGGGCGAAAGCCUGAUGCAGCGACGCCGCGUGAGGGAUGACGGCCUUCGGGUUGUAAACCUCUUUCAGCAGGGAAGAAGCGAAAGUGACGGUACCUGCAGAAGAAGCACCGGCUAACUACGUG